rnacentral:rRNA from 1 species
UACGUAGGGUGCGAGCGUUAAUCGGAAUUACUGGGCGUAAAGUGUGCGCAGGCGGCCGCGCAAGUCGAGUGUGAAAUCCCCGAGCUUAACUUGGGAAUUGCGCUCGAAACUACGUGGCUGGAGUGUGGCAGAGGAAGGUGGAAUUCCACGUGUAGCGGUGAAAUGCGUAGAUAUGUGGAGGAACACCGAUGGCGAAGGCAGCCUUCUGGGCCAACACUGACGCUCAUGCACGAAAGCGUGGGGAGCAAACAGG